UACGUAGGGUCCGAGCGUUGUCCGGAAUUAUUGGGCGUAAAGGGCUCGUAGGCGGUUCGUCACGUCGGGAGUGAAAACUCGGAGCUUAACCCCGUGCCUGCUUCCGAUACGGGCAGACUAGAGGUAUGCAGGGGAGAACGGAAUUCCUGGUGUAGCGGUGAAAUGCGCAGAUAUCAGGAGGAACACCGGUGGCGAAGGCGGUUCUCUGGGCAUGACCUGACGCUGAGGAGCGAAAGUGUGGGGAGCGAACAGG
rnacentral:rRNA from 1 species